GAUGAACGCUGGCGGCGUGCCUAAUACAUGCAAGUCGAGCGAACAGACGAGGGGCUUGCUCCUUCGACGUUAGCGGCGGACGGGUGAGUAACACGUAGGUAACCUACCUAUAAGACUGGGAUAACUUCGGGAAACCGGAGCUAAUACCGGAUAAUAUUUCGAACCGCAUGGUUCGAUAGUGAAAGAUGGCUUUGCUAUCACUUAUAGAUGGACCUGCGCCGUAUUAGCUAGUUGGUAAGGUAACGGCUUACCAAGGCAACGAUACGUAGCCGACCUGAGAGGGUGAUCGGCCACACUGGAACUGAGACACGGUCCAGACUCCUACGGGAGGCAGCAGUAGGGAAUCUUCCGCAAUGGGCGAGAGCCUGACGGAGCAACGCCGCGUGAGUGAUGAAGGUCUUCGGAUCGUAAAACUCUGUUAUUAGGGAAGAACAAACGUGUAAGUAACUGUGCACGUCUUGACGGUACCUAAUCAGAAAGCCACGGCUAACUACGUG
rnacentral:rRNA from 1 species